CUAGUUGGUGAGGUAAUGGCUCACCAAGGCGACGACGGGUAGCCGGCCUGAGAGGGCGGCCGGCCACACUGGGACUGAGACACGGCCCAGACUCCUACGGGAGGCAGCAGUGGGGAAUAUUGGGCAAUGGAGGAAACUCUGACCCAGCGACGCCGCGUGCGGGUUGAAGGCCUUCGGGUUGUAAACCGCUUUCAGCAGGGAAGAAGCGAAAGUGACGGUACCUGCAGAAGAAGCACCGGCUAACUAUGUGCCAGCAGCCGCGGUAAUACAUAGGGUGCAAGCGUUGUCCGGAAUUAUUGGACGUAAAGAGCUCGUAGGUGGUUCGUCACGUCGGAUGUGAAACUCUGGGGCUUAACCCCAGACCUGCAUUCGAUACGGGCGAGCUUGAGUAUGGUAGGGGUGUCUGGAAUUCCUGGUGUAGCGGUGGAAUGCGCAGAUACCAGGAGGAACACCAAUGGCGAAGGCAGAACCCUGGGCCAUUACUGACACUGAGGAGCGAAAGCGUGGGGAGCGAACAGGAUUAGAA
rnacentral:rRNA from 1 species